GGCGGGGCAGAUUGGGUCGUGCACGGGCUCGGACUGGGUCGGACUGGAUUUUUUGGGCCCGAUCUAAGCUCUAAUGCAGCUUGUAUAUUCAUUUACACCCUGCAGCUCUAAUGCUAUAGGUGGAGUGUUGUUAGCAUGCCACGACCAGCUGCAUCUGCAGAUCUAUCCCUAAUUUAAAAUGUAUGGUAUGUUAUUCGACACUCCACUCCACUCACUCCCACAAAAUCUGUAGUGUAUAAAUAUUUUAUCUGCAUGGAAUUGAUAAUUGCAGGACAUCAUUAGGAACCUCUACAAAUUCGUGCUACAACAUUUGGCAUGUACAGGGUUUGGACAAUGAAACUGAAACACCUGUCAUUUUAGUGUGGGAGGUUUCAUGGCUAAAUUGGAGCAGCCUGGUGGCCAAUCUUCAUUAAUUACACAUUAUUGCACCAGUAAGAGCAGAGUGUGAAGGUUCAAUUAGCAGGGUAAGAGCACAGUUUUGCUCAAAAUAUUGCAAUGCACACAACAUUAUGGGUGACAUACCAAAGUUCAAAAGAGGACAAAUUGUUGGUGCACGUCAUGCUGGAGCAUCUGUGACCAAGACAGCAAGUCUUUGUGAU